rnacentral:rRNA from 1 species
GAUGAACGCUGGCGGCGUGCCUAAUACAUGCAAGUCGAGCGAACAGACGAGGAGCUUGCUCCUCUGACGUUAGCGGCGGACGGGUGAGUAACACGUGGAUAACCUACCUAUAAGACUGGGAUAACUUCGGGAAACCGGAGCUAAUACCGGAUAAUAUAUUGAACCGCAUGGUUCAAUAGUGAAAGUCGGUUUUGCUGUCACUUAUAGAUGGAUCCGCGCCGCAUUAGCUAGUUGGUAAGGUAACGGCUUACCAAGGCAACGAUGCGUAGCCGACCUGAGAGGGUGAUCGGCCACACUGGAACUGAGACAUGGUCCAGACUCCUACGGGAGGCAGCAGUAGGGAAUCUUCCGCAAAGGGCGAAAGCCUGACGGAGCAACGCCGCGUGAGUGAUGAAGGUCUUCGGAUCGUAAAACUCUGUUAUUAGGGAAGAACAAAUGUGUAAGUAACUAUGCACGUCUUGACGGUACCUAAUCAGAAAGCCACGGCUAACUACGUG